AUUGAACGCUGGCGGCAGGCCUAACACAUGCAAGUCGAGCGGAGCGGCGGACGGGUGAGUAAUGCCUAUGUAUGUGCCUGGUAGUGGGGGAGGGCGUCCGGAAACGGGCGCUAACACCUAAUCCUUUCAGUUGAGUCUAGGCCGAGUUAGCUAGGUGGUGGGGUAAAGGCCUACCCACGCGACGACCCGUACCUGGGAUGAGAGGAUGAUGAGUCACACGGGAACUGAGACACGGUCCAGACGCCUACGGGAGGAAGAAGUGGGGAAUAUUGUACAAUUGUCGAAAGCCUGAUCCAGCCAUGCCGCGUGUAGGAAGAAGGUCUUCGGUUUGUAAAGCACUUUAAGUUGGGAGGCGUUACCAGCAGAAUAAGCACCGGCUAACUUCGUGCCAGCCGCCGCGGUAAUAC
rnacentral:rRNA from 1 species